GUGUUGUACAAAAGGAGAGGUUAGAAUUCUCCCCCCGAAAAAUGAGGAGAUCCUAGUUACCUAAGUAGCACAUUCAUGGUUAAGGAAGUGCUACAAAUUUUGUGGCAGCUAAUCCUGUUUUUUG